rnacentral:rRNA from 1 species
GAUGAACGCUGGCGGCGUGCCUAAUACAUGCAAGUCGAGCGAAUGGAUUGAGAGCUUGCUCUUAUGAAGUUAGCGGCGGACGGGUGAGUAACACGUGGGUAACCUGCCCAUAAGACUGGGAUAACUCCGGGAAACCGGGGCAAAUACCGGAUAACAUUUUGAACCGCAUGGUUCGAAAUUGAAAGGCGGCUUCGGCUGUCACUUAUGGAUGGACCCGCGUCGCAUUAGCUAGUUGGGGAGGUAACGGGUCACCAAGGCAACGAUGCGUAGCCGACCUGAGAGGGUGAUCGGCCACACUGGGACUGAGACACGGCCCAGACUCCUACGGGAGGCAGCAGUAGGGAAUCUUCCGCAAUGGAAGAAAGUCUGACGGAGCAACGCCGCGUGAGUGAUGAAGGCUUUCGGGUCGUAAAACUCUGUUGUUAGGGAAGAACAAGUGCUAGUUGAAUAAGCUGGCACCUUGACGGUACCUAACCAGAAAGCCACGGUUAACUACGUGCCAGCCGCCGCGGUAA